AUGUGGAUAGCAUUGUCACUCAUGGGUGGUGGAGAACCGGAGAAGGAAAUGCAGUGUCUUGCCAUCCUGCAACAGUUGCGACUUGUAGACAUCCUUGUCAUGAAGGCAUGUUUCUCGUGCUCCAUUCUUGACGGUGACAGGGAGGUAGCGGGCAUCCAAGACACUCAAAAGCCCGGAGAGAGAACGCAAUGCCAUGGCCAGCACAAAAGGCAGGCGAUGAAGAAAAGUAUAGUGUAUGGUGGUGAUAAGCUAACCCUACAAGGAGCACUCCCAAGAUCGGAUCCAGUCCACCACCAGGCUUGA
rnacentral:rRNA from 1 species